rnacentral:rRNA from 1 species
GGGAUUGCCUUAGUAACGGCGAGUGAAGCGGCAACAGCUCAAAUUUGAAAUCUGGCUCCUCUGGUGCCCGAGUUGUAAUUUGCAGAGGAUGUUUCGGGUGCGGCACCGUCCUAAGUUUCUUGGAACAGGGCGUCAUAGAGGGUGAGAAUCCCGUGCUCAGGCGGCCGCCAAACUCAUGUGAAACUCCUUCGACGAGUCGAGUUGUUUGGGAAUGCAGCUCAAAAUGGGUGGUAUAUUUCAUCUAAAGCUAAAUACCGGCCAGAGACCGAUAGCGCACAAGUAGAGUGAUCGAAAGAUGAAAAGCACUUUGGAAAGAGAGUUAAAAAGUACGUGAAAUUGUUGAAAGGGAAGCGCUCGCAACCAGACUCGCCCUUGGGGGAUCAGCCGUCCUUUUGGCCGGUGCACUUCCCCUUUGGCGGGCCAGCAUCGGUUUUGGCGGCCGGAUAAAGGCCCCGGGAACGUAGCUCUCUUCGGGGAGUGUUAUAGCCCGGGGUGCAAUGCGGCCAGCCGGGACCGAGGACCGCGCUUUGCUAGGAUGCUGGCAUAAUGGUUGUCAGCGACCCGUCUUGAAACACGGACCAAGGAGUCGACCAACUACGCGAGUGUUUGGGUGUAAAACUCGUGCGCGUAAUGAAAGUGAACGGAGGUGAGAGCCCGCAAGGGUGCAUCAUCGACCGAUCCUGAUGUCUUCGGAUGGAUUUGAGUAUGAGCGUAGCUGGUCGGACCCGAAAGAUGGUGAACUAUGCCUAAAUAGGGUGAAGCCAGAGGAAACUCUGGUGGAGGCUCGCAGCGGUUCUGACGUGCAAAUCGAUCGUCAAAUUUGGGUAUAGGGGCGAAAGACUAAUCGAACCAUUGA